CUCCCAAGUAGCUGGGAUUACAGGAGCCUGCCACCAUGCCCAGAGUAACCACAAGCUACAUGUGACUACUGAGCACUUGGAAGAGGACUAGUGGAACUGAGGCUGGAGUCCAGUGAUACGAUCUCGGCUCACUGCAAUCU